CUCCUUCCCCUCUUCCUCCCCGAUCCCCUCUUUCUCUGUUCUUUGUCUCGCAGACGAUCGACGCCGACGGGAGCAAGGCUUCAGCUCCGGCGAUCUUCAUUCUGCCGGCAUCGAUCCUUUAGCUCAGAUCUAGUCGAAGCCUUCUUCUUCUCGCUCUAAUCUCUCUGUUUCUCUCACGGGGACGAACCGACGCCGAGUGUGGACGAGCCGACACCGACGAUCGCCGGUGUAGAUCUAUCUUCGGAGCUUGCCGGAGAUCAAUCAAGGAGGCACGAAUCAUCUUGAUUUCCUCUGCUCAACCCUUCCCCGAUCUUUCUUCUCGUUUCUACUGACCCUUUCAUCACUGAUGGCACUGGAUUGGGACUCGAUUGCCGGCGUGAGGGGACAAUUAGGGCUUCAAGGGUCACGGAUUGGAGGGGAUCAAUGAGUCUGUCUGUAGGGAUUCGGUUGAAGAGGUGUUUCUUGAGCUAUGGUUGUGCUUGAUCAGUAGUCUUCCUGCUGGAUUCCUGCUUGAUCCGAUUGAUAACAACAAGUAGGAAGGAUUUUAGCAGCAAGGUUGAGUGCUGUGGUGUUCUUUGAUCCAGUAACAGUAUCUUGUGUGGAUCAACAAAAGGGAGGGAUGAGCUUGAGGACUCUAAUUCGAGACGGGCAUCUCGAUUUCGGAUUUGGAUUGACUGUA